UACGGAGGGAGCUAGCGUUGUUCGGAAUUACUGGGCGUAAAGCGCUCGUAGGCGGCUCAGUAAGUCAGGGGUGAAAUCCCGGGGCUCAACCCCGGAACUGCCCUUGAAACUGCUAAGCUAGAGUCCUGGAGAGGCGAGUGGAAUUCCGAGUGUAGAGGUGAAAUUCGUAGAUAUUCGGAAGAACACCAGUGGCGAAGGCGACUCGCUGGACAGGUAUUGACGCUGAGGUGCGAAAGCGUGGGGAGCAAACAGG
rnacentral:rRNA from 1 species